UACGUAGGGUGCGAGCGUUGUCCGGAAUUACUGGGCGUAAAGAGCUCGUAGGUGGUUUGUCGCGUUGUUCGUGAAAACUCACAGCUCAACUGUGGGCGUGCGGGCGAUACGGGCAGACUGGAGUACUGCAGGGGAGACUGGAAUUCCUGGUGUAGCGGUGGAAUGCGCAGAUAUCAGGAGGAACACCGGUGGCGAAGGCGGGUCUCUGGGCAGUAACUGACGCUGAGGCACGAAGGCCAGGGGAGCAAACGGG
rnacentral:rRNA from 1 species